AUAUUCAGUGAUUUAUUUAUUUAUUGGGUUCUAGGGUUUUCAAUUAAAGGUUCUGCUGCCAGUCCCAGAUAGAGUGACAAGCGAGAGAGAUUGAAGAUAGAGUUGAGAAGCGAGAGCGACUGAAAGGGCAAAAUUUUGCGUUGGAGCGUCGUGCUUGAUGCAAUUGGCUGCCGCUGCUCGUUCGUCUUUUUCGUAGUAAGGUAAAGACUCGACGACAAUUUACUGAUUCGCUGUCUCGGAGAAGGUCAGCAACCUCCAUUUUCCUAGGUCUAUAAAUGAAUGUGUGGAUAAUUGAAUUUUCUUGCUGCUCAACUAAUUUUUUGUUUUACACAUACAAUACAAGUGGCUGCUACAUGUCGAGAAUUCAACAGGGGCAAGGUUCUUACAUAAUCUCAAAUGGCGUCGACAAAGGAGGAGCUUGAAGGCACUUGAUAUUCUUUUUCAUAUGUGUAUGCAUUAAUGACAUUGAACAAUGAACUAUUGUGAAAUAUAUAUUUUAUUGAUUUCUUAGUAAUGAAAGUACUUAUGAUA